CGGGGGAGGCCGGAUCCUGGGCUGUGUCCCGGCGCCCUGUGCUCCGGGGCCUGCGCGGUUGGAUUCGCACUCCCGCCCCCUCCCCCCU
rnacentral:pre_miRNA from 1 species